rnacentral:rRNA from 1 species
UACGAAGGGGGCUAGCGUUGCUCGGAAUCACUGGGCGUAAAGGGUGCGUAGGCGGUUAAGUAAGUCAGGUGUGAAACCUCCAGCUCAACCUGGAGACGCCACUUGAUACUGCUUUGACUUGAGUUCGGUAGGGGUAAGCGGAAUUCCUGGUGUAGCGGUGAAAUGCGCAGAUAAUCAGGAGGAACACCGACGGCGAAGGCAGCCUACUGGGCCGAUACUGACGCUGAGGAGCGAAAGCGUGGGGAGCGAACGG